rnacentral:rRNA from 1 species
UACGGAGGAUGCGAGCGUUAUCCGGAUUUAUUGGGUUUAAAGGGUGCGUAGGCGGGCUGUUAAGUCAGCGGUAAAAGCCCGGGGCUCAACCCCGGCGAGCCGUUGAAACUGGCUGUCUUGAGAUGUCGAGAGGUAUGCGGAAUGCGCAGUGUAGCGAUGAAAUGCUUAGAUAUUGCGCAGAACUCCGAUUGCGAAGGCAGCAUACCGGCGGCGAUCUGACGCUGAGGCACGAAAGCGUGGGUAUCGAACAGG